UUUUACUAUUCAUAGAAGUUACCCUCAUUCUGGCUUUUGUUUACAUUGGUUUUGGAUAGACAGAAACUGUUACUUUGCAAUAAAUGGCGGAUUCAAUUCCUGAUGGUUGGCAUGAAGAAAAUGAAAUUGGUAAAAAUGGUAAAGAAAUUAAGUGUUAUAAAAAUGAUAUAGGCCAGACAUUCUACAGCAUGGAAGCUCUUAUGUGUUAUGUAAAGUAUGCUAAAAGAGCUGAGGUCUCCAUUUACGCACGGAACUAUACUCCUUUAACUGUUGGUGCAUCCCAAGGCAGAAAAAAACAGUGACUUAAUCCCCCAAAGGUAAGGAAACAAGCUGAAAAGGCAGCAGCAGGGAAGCAAUGCUCAAAAGAUCUCAUGCAUGCUUCCAACCAAAGUCAUGAGGAAAGCGAUAACCCAGAAGAGGUAUCUCUGCCUGGUGAACUUCCAAAGAAAGUUUGUCAUGAUAAGGCCCCUAAUUCAGCCUCUGCGUCUCAUGACGAGGAGGAGGCUCAAUUCCAUCUAAGCAAGUAUUACCAAUAAAGAUGCUCGGAAGUUGUGAGCCUAAGCAUGUACAAGCUUUGAUCAAUGGUCAAGCUGGGGCAAACUUAUCAACAAGCUUGAGCCAUGUUGGGGAUAAAGGAGGUUGCACAACGUGUUGAGGAGGCAAGUUGCUGAGGUAAACUACUGAACAAUGGAGAACACACCAAUAUCAAAUGUAAUCCAUAAAUAUAGCAGUUUGUGAGACUCUGAAAGCCAUUUGGAUUGUUUUUAUGUUUGUUUGUGCUUUUUACACGACACCCUAUACAUCUUUUGAAACUCAAAAGACUUGACGUGGUUUAAAUCUAAUAAAUAGUAUUUUUAAUAA